rnacentral:rRNA from 1 species
CCUACGGCGGGCAGCAGUGGGGAAUAUUGCACAAUGGGGGAAACCCUGAUGCAGCGACGCCGCGUGAGUGAAGAAGUAAUUCGUUAUGUAAAGCUCUAUCAGCAGGGAAGAAAAUGACGGUACCUGAGUAAGAAGCCCCGGCUAACUACGUGCCAGCAGCCGCGGUAAUACGUAGGGGGCAAGCGUUAUCCGGAUUUACUGGGUGUAGAGGGAGCGUAGACGGCAGUGCAAGUCUGGAGUGAAAGGCGGGGGCUCAACCCCCGGACUGCUCUGGAAACUGGACGGCUGGAGUGCAGGAGAGGUAAGUGGAAGUCCUAGUGUAGCGGUGAAAUGCGUAGAUAUUAGGAGGAACACCAGUGGCGAAGGCGGCUUACUGGACUGUAACUGACGUUGAGGCUCGAAAGCGUGGGGAGCAAACAGGAUUAGAUACCCCAGUAGUC